rnacentral:rRNA from 1 species
CCCUGUGACAUACCACUUGUUGCCUCGGCGGAUCAGCCCGCUCCCGGUAAAACGGGACGGCCCGCCAGAGGACCCCUAAACUCUGUUUCUAUAUGUAACUUCUGAGUAAAACCAUAAAUAAAUCAAAACUUUCAACAACGGAUCUCUUGGUUCUGGCAUCGAUGAAGAACGCAGCAAAAUGCGAUAAGUAAUGUGAAUUGCAGAAUUCAGUGAAUCAUCGAAUCUUUGAACGCACAUUGCGCCCGCCAGUAUUCUGGCGGGCAUGCCUGUUCGAGCGUCAUUUCAACCCUCAAGCACAGCUUGGUGUUGGGACUCGCGUUAAUUCGCGUUCCUCAAAUUGAUUGGCGGUCACGUCGAGCUUCCAUAGCGUAGUAGUAAAACCCUCGUUACUGGUAAUCGUCGCGGCCACGCCGUUAAACCCCAACUUCUGAAUGUUGACCUCGGAUCAGGUAGGAAUACCCGCUGAACUUAAGCAUAUCAAUAAGCGGAGGAA